rnacentral:rRNA from 1 species
AGUGAACGCUGGCGGUAGGCCUAACACAUGCAAGUCGAACGGCAGCACAGUGAGAGCUUGCUCUUACGGGUGGCGAGUGGCGGACGGGUGAGGAAUACAUCGGAAUCUACUUUUUCGUGGGGGAUAACGUAGGGAAACUUACGCUAAUACCGCAUACGACCUACGGGUGAAAGCAGGGGAUCUUCGGACCUUGCGCGAUUGAAUGAGCCGAUGUCGGAUUAGCUAGUUGGCGGGGUAAAGGCCCACCAAGGCGACGAUCCGUAGCUGGUCUGAGAGGAUGAUCAGCCACAUUGGAACUGAGACACGUCCCAGACUCCUACGGGAGGCAGCAGUGGGGAAUAUUGGACAAGGGGCGCAAGCCUGAUCCAGCCAUACCGCGUGGGUGAAGAAGGCCUUCGGGUUGUUAAGCCCUUUUGUUGGGAAAGAAAAGCAGCAGGUUAAUACCCCGCUGUUCUGACGGUACCCAAAGAAUAAGCACCGGCUAACUUCGUG